CUUGUCUGGCUCCCCGCCUGGUCAUGUGAUCCUCCAGACACAGCAAGCAGCCCUGAAGCCAGAUCUUGCACUUACUAGCAGUGUGGUCUGGACCAGGAACACUUGUCCUCCUUUGUAAAAGGCUAGUCUAAUAAACCAGAGUCAUGUAGAGCAAGAGAUGUGGUGGUUAAAAUGAGAGCGGCCCCAGAAGACCGUAUUUGAAUAUUUGAUUCCCAGCUGGUGAACUGUUUUGGAAGGAUUAGGAGGUAUAGUCUUGUGGAAGCGGUGUGUCACUGGGGGUGGACUUUGAGGUUUCAAAAGACCACACCAGGCUGAGCCUUGUUCUCUUUGUCCAUGUUUGUGGAUCAGGACGUAAGCUCUCAGCUACUGCUCCUGCCCCAUGCCAACUGCCUGCCGCCUUGUCAUGGACUCACCCUCUAAAACUGUAAGCAAGCUCUCAAUUAAGUGUUUUCCUUUAUGAUCUAUCUUAGUCAUCCUUGCCUCUGCAGAGCAUUGGAACACUAAGACAAUGUGACAGCCCAGAACCCCCUCGUCACAGAAUGUGCCCUGUGCCAGUUGCAACCCACAGAAGUGGCUCCAGGGGAGCUGUAGCACAAGUUCCAGAGGCCCCAGGAACAGUUUCCACCUCCUCUUUCCUGUGCCUGGCAUACAUCUGGCCUCUGCCAUACCAGGUGACACCAUGUCUCCUCCAGUCAGUAUAGUAUCUUAGUGUGUUCUCCUGAGAGGGGCUGCCUGGAUAAACUGACAUCUUUAGGCAGAGGUAUUCUGACCCAGGACAGAAGGAGAGGACUCCUUGAGGCGUCUGGGCACUCCUACAGGAAUGCCCUUCAAGGCACUGGCUUUCGUUUCCAGAGAACUUCAAGGGACGUCUCUCCUGACAUAAUGGGAGCAGAGUCCUUUCAUCCAGCUGCCUCGAGCAGCCUCCUCCUCCUCUCUUUCCAGGGAAGAGGAAGUCUGUGUUUACUGAGUGUGUGCAUGGACUGCCUUCACAGUCAAGAUUAUCAACUGUGUUGGAUGGCGAGAAGACCCACAGAGAAAAAACAUGGCAGGGGACAUGGAGAGGUGCACAGCAUUAAAUUGGUGGUCUAAGGAGGAGAGAUUCCAGGUAGUCCUGAAAAUCCUGCCCUGACUUCCCUCAACGGCAGACUCUCCCUGGAACGUGAAACAAACCAUCUUCAGGCACCUUUCCUCCCAGGCUGGACCCCUGGAAGCAAGAAAGCCAGCAAAGCCCUCCCAGUCCCGGCUUUCCUCAACAGUCGCGCUGGCCCGGGAAUUACACGGCUCCCAUCGUGUGCCAAAGAAGCCAGUUCUUUUCAAGGAGCAUUUCUGUGGUGUUUUUUCCCUGCUUUCUGCAUCUGUGCUGACAUUCUGUGAUUCUUAGAGAACCGAUUCUGAAGAGCAAAACCAGGAGCCAAGAAUCUUCAAGCCAGAAAGACUGCUUUGAGAACAAACAGCUAGGGCCUCAGCCUACCGAGUUCACAGCGUGGGUGGGCAGACCCUGCUGGCCAACCCCAGCUCGGUGGGAAGCGGCUUCCCCUGGAAGGCGUGGAGGACACUGAGGGCAGAGGCAGGGACCCACAGACUACUCAGGCAACGGACUUCUUGGACAUGACACCAAAAGCAGGGGCAGUGUGAGAAAAUACAGCCAGGACAUCGUCAAAAUACUCCGUGUUGCCUAGUGUCUUGGGACAGGAGCAAGGGUGACGACGACCCAUCCACGGGACCACGGAACAUGCUCACGGUUGUGGAUGCUUUUCUGUCGUGUACAGCAAACCCGGUAUCGUCAAGACUGGAUUCAAAACUGGGCAACUGCUGGCUAGAGAAGGCACAGCACCUAACUCGCUGUUCUUCCAGAGAAUCUGAAUUCAGUUCCCAGCACCACAUCAGGAAGCUAACAUCCAGCUCCUGGAAAACCUCCCCUCCCCUCCCCU